UACGGAGGGUGCAAGCGUUAAUCGGAAUUACUGGGCGUAAAGCGUGCGCAGGCGGUUCUCCAAGUCCGUUGUGAAAGCCCCGGGCUCAACCUGGGAGGUGCGCUUGAUACUCGAGGGCUUGAGUGCGGGAGAGGAGAGUGGAAUUCCCAGUGUAGAGGUGAAAUUCGUAGAUAUUGGGAAGAACACCGGUGGCGAAGGCGGCUCUCUGGACCGUAACUGACGCUGAGGCGCGAAAAGCGUGGGGGAGCAAACAGGG
rnacentral:rRNA from 1 species